rnacentral:antisense_RNA from 1 species
CUUGAUGGACCCGAGCCACAGUGGACGGUCCUCGGGCCGGCCCUGACCGUAGGUGGCCAGAAGUGCCUGAGCCUC